rnacentral:rRNA from 1 species
UACAGAGGGGGCAAGCGUUGUUCGGAAUUACUGGGCGUAAAGGGCUCGUAGGUGGCCAACUAAGUCGGACGUGAAAUCCCUCAGCUUAACUGGGGAACUGCGUCCGAUACUGGAUGGCUUGAGUUUGGGAGAGGGAUGGCGGAAUUCCAGGUGUAGCGGUGAAAUGCGUAGAUAUCUGGAGGAACACCGGUGGCGAAGGCGGCAUCCUGGACCAACACUGACACUGAGGAGCGAAAGCCAGGGGAGCAAACGGG